rnacentral:tRNA from 1 species
ACCUGGGUGGCUCAGUGGUUGAGCAUCUGCCUUCAGCUCAGGUCAUGAUCCUGGGGUCCUGGGAUCGAGUCCCACAUCGGGUU